rnacentral:lncRNA from 1 species
GGGGAGGGUUGGGAUCCCGCUAACAUAAUUAACCCCGCCACAUUAUUUAUGUAUGUGCCUGUCCCAAGUCAGGAGCCUGUAAUUCAGUGGUUGUCGUUUGUUUAUGUGUUACAUAUUUGUUUUUCAUUCAUUUUUUUUUUACAUUGUCUUAUCGGGGCCUUUUAUAGCUGACUAUAUAUGCGGUAUGGGUUUUGCUCAUUGUUGAAGGCCGUAGGGUGACCUAUAAUUGUUAAUGUUUGUGUCAUUUUGGUCUUUUGUGGAUAGUUGUCUCAUUGGCAAUCAUACCACAUCUUCUUUUUUAUAUUUGGGUAUGAAGAUGUAGUAAAGGCUGAAUGCCAGUUUUAGUCUUAUAUAUG